rnacentral:snRNA from 1 species
CCCUCGAUCUGGCCUUUUGGCUAAGAUCAAGCAUAGCAUCUGUUCUUAUCAGUUUAAUUGCUGAUAGGUCCUUUAUUUAAGGACUGUGUAUUAAAUUGAUUUUUGAACCAGGGGCUGGACUAGGAGCUUGCUCUGUCAACCUCACGCAUUGACCUGGUAUUGCAGUAUCUCCGGGAACGGUACAUCCCCU